GGAUCGCCCUUCCUACGGGAGGCAGCAGUGGGGAAUUUUGGACAAUGGGGGAAACCCUGAUCCAGUCAUGCCGCGUGAGUGAAGAAGGCCUUCGGGUUGUAAAGCUCUUUCAGCCGGAAAGAAAUCGCACUGGUUAAUACCUUGUGUGGAUGACGGUACCGGAAGAAGAAGCACCGGCUAACUACGUGCCAGCAGCCGCGGUAAUAAGGGCGAUCCC
rnacentral:rRNA from 1 species